AGCAAAGAAAAAGCAGGACCAUCAGGCACAGAAAAGACCGUACAUCCAACAACUUCAGUUGAGGCCUCCUGUUUUUCUUCAAGUGACAGUAGUGCAGCAGAAGAUGUAAGGUAUCAACAACCUGCCCAUCAGCUACGGAAUGCUCCAAGCCCCGUAAAGCGCACGGUUGCCUCUGCCCCAAGAAAAAAAGAACAGUUCAACCAGGUCAAUCCCCAGGCAGGUGAACCAACCUACCCCUUGGCCUACUGAUGACAGCGAUGACACGUGGCACUCUCCAGAAAGCAUCCAGAACACCAGCAAUUGAGGACCAGAUUGUAGGCAUCGGCUGCCAGGCAUUUCUGACCAUAUAAUGAGUCCUCACCUUAGAGUGUCAAGUCUGCAAUGAGGACCCUUCACACUGGCUGAGAGCAUCUUCAGUCCUGCCUCUCCUGGGUGGUUGUAGCUCAGGUCCAGUUCUCUCAGAUUGGAGGGGUUGGACCUCAGGACCGAUGCCAGAGAAGAACAGCCUUCCUCUGUGAUCAAACAGCCUGAAAGACUAACAACAAUGAGAUAAAACCAUUACAUAAAAGUAGCAAAGACUUGGAAUUACAUGGCUUCUGUCAAAAACUGAGAACACUAUUACAAUUUAAAACAAAAGUUUCAUAAUGAAUGACUGUUUGAAGUCAUUAUUUUGAAUGUGAUGAUAUUCUAAGAAUCCAUGUGCUAAAUAAAAAUGCACAUUUACUGUCAAAACUAGAUUUUUUGGAAGAAUGUGAUUGUUCCCUUAAAUUUUCCAUUUAAUUAGAUUUAUUCAACCAAUAAAUGAAUCAGUUGUUCCAACUACUGGUCACCAAGACAUACUGAACUCUGUCUCCGAUGUUCAUGUUUUAAAACUAUUCAUUCAUCGAGUCAUUUCUUCUGUUCAUUUUGGUUUGAGUCCCAGAUGUAACACGUUUAGUACAGAAACCGAGGUAUCACAAUCCCCAACAACACGCUCCAGGUGGUUCUAGACACUCCCAAGGUGUUUGCUGGCCAGACAGAACAUCAAAUUCCUCUAAAGUAUUCUGGCUCUGCCUUGAAAUUUCUUCUGAUAGUAUAUGCUUAAAAACUUCAAAUAAUCACCGGACUACUUUAUGCGCUGAAAGUGGUAGCUGUCUUCCCCCCUGGAUUACAAAGUUCCUCAAAAUUUCUCUGACAGGUCCUGAUCACACUACUGAGGAAGGUAACUUAAUUCUACUUUAUGAUUCAUAUAUCUCAUAAUGAUAUGUGAAGGUUAUCCGGAAGACUACUUCAACAAGAGCUUUGCCCUUCACUAAGACGGACGGAGGAGGUACCAAAAUUACUGCAU